GAGACUACAGAGCUCUGUGUUAGCAUGUCA
rnacentral:piRNA from 1 species